rnacentral:tRNA from 1 species
UCCCUGGUGGUCCGGAGGUUAGGACUCUGAGCUUCCAUCUCAGAGGGCACUGGUUUGAUCCCUGUCUGGGGAA